rnacentral:rRNA from 1 species
GGACGAACGCUGGCGGCGUGCUUAACACAUGCAAGUCGAACGGAAAGGCCCUGCUUGCAGGGUACUCGAGUGGCGAACGGGUGAGUAACACGUGGGUGAUCUGCCCUGCACUUCGGGAUAAGCCUGGGAAACUGGGUCUAAUACCGGAUAGGAGCCAUUUUUAGUGUGAUGGUUGGAAAGUUUUUUCGGUGUAGGAUGAGCUCGCGGCCUAUCAGCUUGUUGGUGGGGUAAUGGCCUACCAAGGCGGCGACGGGUAGCCGGCCUGAGAGGGUGGACGGCCACAUUGGGACUGAGAUACGGCCCAGACUCCUACGGGAGGCAGCAGUGGGGAAUAUUGCACAAUGGGCGCAAGCCUGAUGCAGCGACGCCGCGUGGGGGAUGACGGCCUUCGGGUUGUAAACUCCUUUCGCUAGGGACGAAGCUUUUUGUGACGGUACCUAGAUAAGAAGUACCGGCUAACUACGUG